CCCUUAGAUGUCCUGGGCCGCACGCGCGCUACACUGAGUGUCUGAGAUACGAGUCUGCCUGGUCCGGCAAGGUCUAGGUAAUCGCUAAAAGACACAUCAUGCUUGGGAUAGAUUAUUGCAAAUAUUAAUCUUGAACGAGGAAUUCCUAGUAAGCGCAAGUCAACAGCUUGCGUUGAUUACGUCCCUGCCCUUUGUACACACCGCCCGUCGCUACUACUGAUUGGAUGUUUAAGCGAGGUUCUCGAACUGCUAGCGACUUAGCUUCGGUGAGGUCGCAGUGUGGGAAGUGAACCUAGCUUUGGUGUAUAGAGGAAGUAAAAGUCGUAACA
rnacentral:rRNA from 1 species